UAAUAUUUAUAUAAGGCUUGUUUAA
rnacentral:piRNA from 1 species